rnacentral:rRNA from 1 species
GACGGAGGAUGCAAGUGUUAUCCGGAAUCACUGGGCGUAAAGCGUCUGUAGGUGGUUUAAUAAGUCAACUGUUAAAUCUUGAGGCUCAACCUCAAAAUCGCAGUCGAAACUAUUAGGCUAGAGUAUAGUAGGGGUAAAGGGAAUUUCCAGUGGAGCGGUGAAAUGCGUAGAGAUUGGAAAGAACACCGAUGGCGAAGGCACUUUACUGGGCUAUUACUCACACUCAGAGACGAAAGCUAGGGUAGCAAAUGGG